rnacentral:rRNA from 1 species
UAGGGAAUCUUCCGCAAUGGACGAAAGUCUGACGGAGCAACGCUGCGUGAGUGAAGAAGGUUUUCGGAUCGUAAAACUCUGUUGUUAAAGAAGAACAAGGAUGAGAGUAACUGCUCAUCCCCUGACGGUAUUUAACCAGAAAGCCACGGCUAACUACGUGCCAGCAGCCGCGGUAAUACGUAGGUGGCAAGCGUUGUCCGGAUUUAUUGGGCGUAAAGCGAGCGCAGGCGGUUCUUUAAGUCUGAUGUGAAAGCCCCCGGCUCAACCGGGGAGGGUCAUUGGAAACUGGAGAACUUGAGUGCAGAAGAGGAGAGUGGAAUUCCACGUGUAGCGGUGAAAUGCGUAGAUAUGUGGAGGAACACCAGUGGCGAAGGCGACUCUCUGGCCUGUAACUGACGCUGAGGCUCGAAAGCGUGGGGAGCAAACAGGAUUAGAUACCCUGGUAGUCCACGCCGUAAACGAUGAGUGCUAAGUGUUGGAGGGUUUCCGCCCUUCAGUGCUGCAGCUAACGCAUUAAGCACUCCGCCUGGGGAGUACGGCCGCAAGGCUGAAACUCAAAGGAAUUGACGGGGUCAUAGCUGUUUCCUG